UUUCUUUUCUUUUCUUUUCUUCAACCUUAGAUCAAGUCCUAUUAUUAUCAGUCCUUUCAGAAAUUAGCUGCACUUAUGUACACUAUUUAAUCUUGCUACAGUGAAAGGCAGGACUACUCCUUGUGUGCUGUGUAAGUCUCCACUUUGGCAGGACAUCAUGUAAAUAUGGGGGGGGGGGUUUGACGUGUGUGAAUAUGAAUGAGUAAGUGUUAAAUAUUUGAAUAAAAUAGAAGUAAACAAAUAUAUUUAAAUAUUGCUGAUGUUAAAACUAGACAGUAGGUUUGUGCUGUAACAUGAUUCAUUCUGAUUCGGGCAUCUCGGGCUGGGAUGUCCAUCUCUCGCUCCCUGAGUCAAAUUAGUUGCUAUGGUUCCUCCUGUUCCCUCCUUUCCUCAUUUCUUUAAGUUGAGCCAGAGAUUACAGCGUGUAAUCAGGCCGCUCUGUGGAGACAACUGUGAAUUAAGAGGCGAGUAAUGCCCUGAUUUGUUAGACGUUAAGCUCUCGCUCAUUGUCUCUGUGAAGGUGACUUCCUAAUGUCUUUGGUUGCAAUUAAAUCCUGCCAACAAAGCCCGAGCAUCGCAGCCAGCACACUGCUGCUCUCAUCUUCUCGGCUCCUCACGUGAUCCACAGCGGUUGUCAAGUCUGUUUUCUUGAGCUGUUCCCUGCCGUAGCUGGAUUCCCCUUUCCAGACGGCGACACACACGCUGAGACACCCACAGGCUUCAGCUUGUAUACGUCUGCAGCUGCUGUCACCUCCCUCUCGCUCUGAUGUCACAGAAUUUCACUUUCUUCCAGCAGCACUCCAGCGUACGUUUCAUCAGAGUGGGGGUGUACUUGCCCCAAAUAUCCCCCGAGAAAAGUUCUGUUGGAUGUGAUUUCAUUAAUCCAUUUGCUCAAGAAAAUGAAAUGCUGAGGAGUAUUCAAGGGCUGGAUGUGGUAAGGCAGUGUAGGAUCAGACCCACACAAGGAGCUCUGUGUCCGGACCAUUUCUGCAGGCUGGACAGGCAGGUGCACUCAC